CUGGGAAUCUGCCUGGUAGUGGGGGAUAACGUCCGGAAACGGGCGCUAAUACCGCGUAGUCCUACGGGAGAAAGCAGGGGAUCUUCGGACCUUGCGCUAUCAGAUGAGCCCAGGUCGGAUUAGCUAGUAGGUGAGGUAAUGGCUCACCUAGGCGACGAUCCGUAACUGGUCUGAGAGGAUGAUCAGUCACACUGGAACUGAGACACGGUCCAGACUCCUACGGGAGGCAGCAGUGGGGAAUAUUGGACAAUGGGGGCAACCCUGAUCCAGCCAUGCCGCGUGUGUGAAGAAGGUCUUCGGAUUGUAAAGCACUUUAAGUUGGGAGGAAGGGCUUUAGGUUAAUACCCUGAAGUUUUGACGUUACCAACAGAAUAAGCACCGGCUAACUCUGUGCCAGCAGCCGCGGUAAUACAGAGGGUGCAAGCGUUAAUCGGAAUUACUGGGCGUAAAGCGCGCGUAGGUGGUUCAGUAAGAUGGGUGUGAAAUCCCCGGGCUUAACCUGGGAACUGCUUUCAUAACUGCUGAGCUAGAGUACGGUAGAGGGUAGUGGAAUUUCCUGUGUAGCGGUGAAAUGCGUAGAUAUAGGAAGGAACACCAGUGGCGAAGGCGACUACCUGGACUGAUACUGACACUGAGGUGCGAAAGCGUGGGGAGCAAACAGGAUUAGAUACCCUGGUAGUCCACGCCGUAAACGAUGUCAACUAGCCGUUGGAGUCCUUGAGACUUUAGUGGCGCAGCUAACGC
rnacentral:rRNA from 1 species